GCAUGCAUGUGUAAGUAUAAAUAAUUUUACUUUGAAACUGCGAAUGGCUCAUUAUAUCAGUUAUAGUUUAUUAGAAAUAUUUUACUACUUGGAUAACCGUAGUAAUUCUAGGGCUAAUACAUGAGUAAAUCCUCAACUUCGGAAGAGGUGUGUUUAUUAGUAUGAAAACCAUAUAUCUUCGGAUAUAAUAGUGAGUAAUAAUAACCUUUCAUAUCGUAUGUCUUUGGAUAACGAUAGUUCUUUCAAGUUUCUGCCCUAUCAGCUUUCGAUGGUAGUAUAUGGGACUACCAUGGCAGUAACGGGUAACGAAGAAUUUGGGUUCGAUUUCGGAGAGGGAGCCUGAGAGAUGGCUACCACAUCCAAGGAAGGCAGCAGGCGCGUAAAUUACCCAAUCCUGACAUAGGGAGGUAGUGACAAUAAAUCACAAUGCGGAACUUUUUAUUUUUGCAUUGGAUUGGAAAACAUGGUACAAUGGUAUUCAAUAACCAUUGGAAGGGCAGUCCGG
rnacentral:rRNA from 1 species